GGUGCUUGGGGGGGGGGGAGGGCGUAGCUCGGCUCAGAGGCUGAGGGAGGUGCUGUCGCCCCCCUGGAGUUGGAAAUGGCCUCAGCUGCGGGAGGGAAGGAGGGAAGGAAGGCUGUUCUCACCGGGUCAGUGUUCCUUUUGUGCGUCCUUUUGAGUGUGGAGGAGCUGUUGGGGGAAUCUCUGGGCUGUGGUUAAAGGAGGUGCAUAGUGAUUAGCAUGGUAGGUUUUGUUUCAGACAAUAAUUAUUUGGGGAAAUAUGCCCAGAAGUCACGCUGUCUCUUUUCCCUUGCCAAUCCAGCUCCUGGAUACCCAUUGGCAUAAUGCUCCACGUGCCUGAGGGCCAUCUCUUGUGUGCAUGCUGCAGGAGUCAUUGCACGCCUUGGGUAAUUAUCCCUGAGAAGUCUUCCAGGAGAGUCAAAUGAUGACACAGAAACAGCCCUGGAGCACAGGGAGUGCCCUAUGAGUGCGGUGCUGGAAUCUGCUGAGGAGAAUUUGCAAUAGAGAGACAAAAUCAUCUCAGCUUUAACAUUAUAGACCCUGAUAUCCUGUAGCCAUAUCAGACCUGGAAGAGAAGUUCCAUCUUCUCUCCCCUCUCCUCUCCUCUCCCCACGUCUCCUCAGAAAUGGAAAAGAACCCGCAGGCGAAGUGGAGUUUCUGUGCAGAUUGUGGAGUUGUGUCCUUGAAGAUAAGGGUAGCAUAUUCCACAGGCCCUGAGGGAUGUGAGCUCUCUGGUGGUUCCUGAAGGAA